UUUUCGGACAAUGGAUGUAGAGGAAAGUGGCGGACGGGUGAGUAACGCGUGGGUAACCUGCCUCAUACAGGGGGAUAACGCAUCGAAAGAUGUGCUAAUACCGCGUAAGACCACAGCCUCACAUGGGGCAGGGGUCAAAGGAGCAAUCCGGAUAAAGAUGGGCUCGCGUCCGAUUAGCUAGUUGGUGAGAUAACAGCCCACCAAGGCGACGAUCGGUAGCCGACCUGAGAGGGUGAUCGGCCACAUUGGAACUGAGAGACGGUCCAGACUCC
rnacentral:rRNA from 1 species